UUGCCUUGUUUGAAAUUCAUUUCAUGCAUUUGGUUUUCAGUUGCUGAGUCAGCAAACACUUUUCCCCUUUUCCCUCACUUCCACUCAAUUCUGGUUUUAGUACUCCAUAUUUCGUGAUUUUCAUCUUCCUUUUCUCUCUCCUCUCUCUUUUUCCUUCAUUGAAACGCCGAUUUCCAUUGAAAGAGUUUCUUCUCCUCCAUAAGAGCUGAGAUUAAUGGAGAAUGAAAAAAAUGCCAAAUUUGGUUUCCUCCAUUAUUGAAGCAACUUUGAGGCAGGGCCUUCUUUGCUCUGGGUUGGAUCAUCAAAGGUGGUAACCUUCUUCCUUCUAAUGAUGUUGAUAUUCAUAAAAAAAUCUAAGGUUUCUUCAACUACUGCUUGAAAUCAAGGAGAAAAAUGAUUUUCUGGGGUGAAAAGGGAAGUUGUCGACAUUGUUCCUAGCUUAACUAGGCCUGAAGAUGGAAUGCAGUCCCUUGCCCAAUAUUCCAAAGUGGUUUUGCAAAAACAAUCUGACCUUUUGCGGGAUCCUAGGUUGAGGUUCCAUAUGUUUAGGAAGCCAAGGCAAGAGCUGGGUUUAAAGGACAAAUUGAGAAGAGGCAGUAGGAGAGAGAUGAAUUCCAGAAAAUGGCUAUCAGCAACCAGAAAGAAAAGAUCCAGGCCGCUGAGGUUUUCUCAAACAUUUAUGACCCAUUUAGGCUGGAAGAUGAGCUUGAUCUGCUUGCUGUUGCUGCUGAGGAGGAACGUAAACAAAAAGUUGUCAGUAUUAUUGGAUUUUGGAUAGGUAGCCCUUGCAUUUGUCGGUUAGCCCUGAUACAACUAAGCUGCAGCAACUCUGACCUCCCCUUCCUUCAGUAGUAAGCUAUGCUUUACGCACCUCCUCUGCCUGCUAUACUAGCCAUUUGGAGAAGAUCUUUAUAGUGAACUUUCGAGCUCGGAAUAUGUAAACUAUUUUGUGGAGACUGCAGGUAUCUCAAACGCUUGAUAACCAGCCAAUUUUUUUUUAACAAGAAUUUUAGUUAUCUUAUCACUUUGUUGAACUAUUUUUUUUAGCAAGUGCUAAUUUUGAAUUAGCUGGUUAUUUAUGGUUAAUUUUCGAUACAUUGUGGAGGAAUGGAGAUCCUGUUUGCAGGAAUCGAGCCCAGUCAACGUGUUCCUCUAAUUUAAAUAUUGAGUCAUACUGCUUUAGCCGUGUACGACGGUGACAGUAGCCGAGUACAACCUUGACACACACAAGUCUAGAAGUUUGGGUUAACAUUCAAGAAAGAUAAGAUCCAGGCCACUGAGGUUCUCUCAAAGAUUUAUGACCCAUUUAGGCUGGAAGACGAGCUUGAUCUGCUUGUUGUUGCUGCUGAGGAGGAACACAAAACAAAAAACUCAGUAUUAUGGAUGUGUUCACGAUUAAAGAAAUUUAGCUUGCAUUUCUUGCUUGUGGUGGGGGGCUUCUGCUACAAAUGUUACUCACUACUUACAUUAUCCAAAUCAAUUUGUUCAUCUGUUUAUUUAGAGGGAGGAUUUGUGAAGGGUACUGGAUCUGUUAUUGGUCGAAGAGCACCAUGCUCGGACUUUUUUGAUCCACCGACCAGGCAGUUUAGGAAGAGGGAAGGGUGGGCUGAAAUGAUAAGCGUCAUGCAUACCAGGUUGUAUAUGUGUCAGACAAUACAGAGUUGAGGUAGAAGUACUAGAAGAGUUGAAACCAAGUAAGACAAAAGCUCAUGUCUUACAGAAGAGGGAAAAGCUAGAUGUAAUAUGUCACUGAUACAUGUAAUUCCUUUCCAACAUUAGAUGGUGAAACAAAACAACUUAUUUAGGCAAUUUGGCUCUCCUUGCGUGUUGGUCAUUUGGCUAAUUUUUGGAGAUUAAGUUAGUCAAAUACUCUAAUUCAAUGUAUGUGCCUUUGGUAGAAGAAAACUCCUUUUGGUGAUCUAUUUAUUUAGAAAAUUUCCCUCAGUUUAAAA